rnacentral:misc_RNA from 1 species
AACCUAGCACACCUGCGGUGUGUACCUGCGGAGGGAUCAUUACAAGUGACCCCGGUCUAACCACCGGGAUGUUCAUAACCCUUUGUUGUCCGACUCUGUUGCCUCCGGGGCGACCCUGCCUUCGGGCGGGGGCUCCGGGUGGACACUUCAAACUCUUGCGUAACUUUGCAGUCUGAGUAAACUUAAUUAAUAAAUUAAAACUUUCAGCAACGGAUCU